rnacentral:rRNA from 1 species
GACGAACGCUGGCGGCGGGCUUAACACAUGCAAGUCGAACGAACAGAUCGCGAAACUUCGGUUCUGCGUAAUGUUAGUGGCGAACGGGUGAGUAACACGUAGGUAACCUGCCCUCGAGAGUGGGAUAACCAUUGGAAACGAUGGCUAAUACCGCAUAUUGUCUCGACAACACCUGUUGUUGAGAUGAAAUAUUCCGGUGCUCGGGGAUGGGCCUGCGGUGGAUUAGGAAGUUGGUGAGGUAACGGCUCACCAAUCCUGCGAUCCAUAGCUGGUCUGAGAGGAUGAUCAGCCACACUGGCACUGAGACACGGGCCAGACUCCUACGGGAGGCAGCAGUGAGGAAUAUUGGGCAAUGGGCGAAAGCCUGACCCAGCCACGCCGCGUGCAGGAUGACACCCCUACGGGGCGUAAACUGCUUUUAUAUGAGAAGAACAGCCUGGAUUCGUCCGGGUUUGACGGUAUCAUACGAAUAAGGACCGGCUAACUCCG